rnacentral:rRNA from 1 species
CCUACGGGAGGCAGCAGUCGGGAAUAUUGCGCAAUGGAGGAAACUCUGACGCAGUGACGCCGCGUGCAGGAAGAAGGUUUUCGGAUUGUAAACUGCUUUAGACAGGGAAGAAAAAAGACAGUACCUGUAGAAUAAGCUCCGGCUAACUACGUGCCAGCAGCCGCGGUAAUACGUAGGGAGCAAGCGUUAUCCGGAAUUACUGGGCGUAAAGCGCUCGUAGGCGGUAUGUCAAGUCAAGGGUGAAAUCCCCGCGCUCAACGUGGGAACUGCCUUUGAAACUGGCAAACUGGAGUGUGUGAGAGGAUAGUGGAAUGCCAGGUGUAGGAGUGAAAUCCGUAGAUAUCUGGAGGAACAUCAGUGGCGAAGGCGACUAUCUGGCACAUAACUGACGCUGAGGAGCGAAAGCGUGGGUAGCAAACAGGAUUAGAUACCCCAGUAGUC